ACCUCGGUGGUUUAAUGGUAGAGCACGCGUCCCCGGGUUGGAUGAAACGCCGGUUCGAAUCCCGCCUGAGGCG